rnacentral:rRNA from 1 species
AAGGCCAAUCAAACCGGGAGAUAGCUGGUUCUCCCCGAAAGCUAUUUAGGUAGCGCCUCGUGAAUUCAUCUCCGGGGGUAGAGCACUGUUUCGGCAAGGGGGUCAUCCCGACUUACCAACCCGAUGCAAACUGCGAAUACCGGAGAAUGUUAUCACGGGAGACACACGGCGGGUGCUAACGUCCGUCGUGAAGAGGGAAACAACCCAGACCGCCAGCUAAGGUCCCAAAGUCAUGGUUAAGUGGGAAACGAUGUGGGAAGGCCCAGACAGCCAGGAUGUUGGCUUAGAAGCAGCCAUCAUUUAAAGAAAGCGUAAUAGCUCACUGGUCGAGUCGGCCUGCGCGGAAGAUGUAACGGGGCUAAACCAUGCACCGAAGCUGCGGCAGCGACACUAUGUGUUGUUGGGUAGGGGAGCGU